AUCUGUUGUAGUCUAGUUGGUCAGGAUACUCGGCUCUCACCCGAAAGACCCGCGUUCAAGUCCCGGCAAUGAAAA
rnacentral:tRNA from 1 species